AUUGAACGCUGGCGGCAGGCCUAACACAUGCAAGUCGAACGGUAGCACAGAGAGCUUGCUCUCGGGCGACGAGUGGCGGACGGGUGAGUAAUGUCUGGGAAACUGCCCGAUGGAGGGGGAUAACUACUGGAAACGGUAGCUAAUACCGCAUAACGUCGCAAGACCAAAGUGGGGGACCUUCGGGCCUCACACCAUCGGAUGUGCCCAGAUGGGAUUAGCUAGUAGGUGGGGUAAUGGCUCACCUAGGCGACGAUCCCUAGCUGGUCUGAGAGGAUGACCAGCCAGACUGGAACUGAGACACGGUCCAGACUCCUACGGGAGGCAGCAGUGGGGAAUAUUGCACAAUGGGCGCAAGCCUGAUGCAGCCAUGCCGCGUGUAUGAAGAAGGCCUUCGGGUUGUAAAGUACUUUCAGCGGGGAGGAAGGCGGUGAAGUUAAUAACUUCACCGAUUGACGUUACCCGCAGAAGAAGCACCGGCUAACUCCGUGCCAGCAGCCGCCGCCG
rnacentral:rRNA from 1 species